rnacentral:rRNA from 1 species
UACGUAGGGUGCAAGCGUUGUCCGGAAUUAUUGGGCGUAAAGAGCUCGUAGGCGGUCUGUCGCGUCGGCUGUGAAAACCUGGGGCUUAACUCCGGGCUUGCAGCCGAUACGGGCAGGCUAGAGUUCGGUAGGGGAGACUGGAAUUCCUGGUGUAGCGGUGAAAUGCGCAGAUAUCAGGAGGAACACCGGUGGCGAAGGCGGGUCUCUGGGCCGAUACUGACGCUGAGGAGCGAAAGCGUGGGGAGCGAACAGG